AUACGUAGGUGGCAAGCGUUGUCCGGAAUUAUUGGGCGUAAAGCGCAUGUAGGCGGUUUGGUAAGUCGGUCGUGAAAAUGCGGUGCUUAACGCCGUAUGGCGAUUGAAACUGCUGAACUUGAGUGCAGGAGAGGAAAGGGGAACUCCCAGUGUAGCGGUGAAAUGCGUAGAUAUUGGGAAGAACACCGGUGGCGAAGGCGCCUUUCCGGACUGUGUCUGACGCUCAGAUGCGAAAGCCAGGGUAGCGAACGGGAUUAGAUACCCCGGUAGUCCAGGCCGUAAACGAUGGGUACUAGGUGUGGGAGGUAUCGACUCCUUCCGUGCCGGAGUUAACGCAAUAAGUACCCCGCCUGGGGAGUACGGCCGCAAGGCUUAAACUUAAAGGAAUUGACGGGG
rnacentral:rRNA from 1 species